rnacentral:rRNA from 1 species
UUGGAGAGGAAAAAGGCUCGCCAAGGCGAGGAUGGGUAGCCGGACCUGAAGAGGAUGAUCGGCCACAAGGGGACUGAGACACGGCCCUUACUCCUACAGGAGGCAGCAGUGGGGAAAUAUUGGACAAUGGACCAAGAGUCUGAUCCAGCAAUUCUGUGUGCACGAUGAAGUUUUUCAAAAUGUAAAGUGCUUUCAGUUGGGAAGAAAAAAAUGACGGUACCAACAGAAGAAGUGACGGCUAAAUACGUGCCAGCAGCCGCGGUAAUACGUAUGUCACAAGCGUUAUCCGGAUUUAUUGGGCGUAAAGCGCGUCUAGGUGGUUAUGUAAGUCUGAUGUGAAAAUGCAGGGCUCAACUCUGUAUUGCGUUGGGAACUGUGUAACUAAAGUACUGGAGAGGUAAGCGGAACUACAAGUGUAGAGGUGAAAUUCGUAGAUAUUUGUAGGAAUGCCGAUGGGGAAGCCAGCUUACUGGACAGAUACUGACGCUGAAGCGCGAAAGCGUGGGUAGCAAACAGG